GUCAGUGAGAAGUAGUGGUUAAAGUGUUGGACUAGGACUCUGGAGACCAGGGUUCGAAUCCCCGCUGUGCCG